UACGUAGGCAGCGAGCGUUGUUCGGAGUUACUGGGCGUAAAGGGUGUGUAGGCGGUUGUUUAAGUUUGGUGUGAAAUCUCCCGGCUCAACUGGGAGGGUGCGCCGAAUACUGAAUGACUAGAGUACGGGAGAGGAAAGUGGAAUUCCUGGUGUAGCGGUGAAAUGCGUAGAUAUCAGGAGGAACACCGGUGGUGUAGACGGCUUUCUGGACCGUAACUGACGCUGAAACACGAAAGCGUGGGGAGCAAACAGG
rnacentral:rRNA from 1 species